AAUGGAACCUCACCUAGAAGCUACACAUAUCCUUCUAUCCAAGCUACUUCUCCAGUGAAUCCAGUCUGAAACCUGGAAAACCCCUCAAGUAGACUUCAGGAUUGCACAGCAGCAGCAGCCUAAGCCGAGGAGGAGAGACCACUUAUUUAAUGUGCUGCUGACUGGUGCAACUGGCAUGCUCUGAAUCAUCACUUCCCAUCUGAAUCUGAAUCCCCACAGAGCCCUAAUAAGAUCAUCACCUUUUUAGAAAGAUACGGUUUUGUUAAGAAAAAUUAAGACUGAGCCAAAA